ACCCUCCUACUCUUUUUCCUUUCGGAUCUCAACAUUGGUCUUGGUGGUGGCGAAGAGAAUGCUGAGUUGACCUCACAGAGGUGUAGUCUGGUAUGCAGCUUGUGGGCCAGAUUCAAACAGGG
rnacentral:snoRNA from 1 species